rnacentral:rRNA from 1 species
CCUACGGGCGGCAGCAGUGAGGAAUAUUGGUCAAUGGGCGCAAGCCUGAACCAGCCAAGUCGCGUGAGGGAUGACGGUCCUAUGGAUUGUAAACCUCUUUUGUCGGGGAGCAAGGCCCGCCACGUGUGGCUGGAAGGAUAGUACCUGAAGAAAAAGCAUCGGCUAACUCCGUGCCAGCAGCCGCGGUAAUACGGAGGUUGCGAGCGUUAUCCGGAUUUAUUGGGUUUAAAGGGUGCGUAGGCGGAAGGUUAAGUCAGCGGUAAAAUGUCGGUGCUAACCACCGGCUUGCCGUUGAAACUGGUCUUCUUGAGUGAGCGAGAGGUAUGCGGAAUGCGUGGUGUAGCGGUGAAAUGCAUAGAUAUCACGCAGAACUCCGAUUGCGAAGGCAGCAUACCGGCGCUCAACUGACGCUGAGGCACGAAAGCGUGGGGAUCGAACAGGAUUAGAUACCCCUGUAGUC